rnacentral:rRNA from 1 species
GGGUGAGUAACACGUAAACAACCUGCCUUCAGGAUGGGGACAACAGACGGAAACGACUGCUAAUACCGAAUAAGUUCCAAGAGCCGCAUGGCCCAUGGAAGAAAAGGUGGCCUCUACCUGUAAGCUAUCGCCUGAAGAGGGGUUUGCGUCUGAUUAGCUGGUUGGAGGGGUAACGGCCCACCAAGGCGACGAUCAGUAGCCGGUCUGAGAGGAUGAACGGCCACACUGGAACUGAGACACGGUCCAGACUCCUACGGGAGGCAGCAGUGGGGAAUCUUCCGCAAUGGGCGAAAGCCUGACGGAGCAACGCCGCGUGAGUGAUGACGGCCUUCGGGUUGUAAAACUCUGUGAUCCGGGACGAAAAGGCAGAGUGCGAAGAACAAACUGCAUUGACGGUACCGGAAAAGCAAGCCACGGCUAACUACGUGCCAGCAGCCGCGGUAAUACGUAGGUGGCAAGCGUUGUCCGGAAUUAUUGGGCGUAAAGCGCGCGCA